rnacentral:rRNA from 1 species
UGGGCCCGACGUCGCAUGCUCCCGGCCGCCAUGGCGGCCGCGGGAAUUCGAUUAGAGUUUGAUCAUGGCUCAGAUUGAACGCUGGCGGCAGGCCUAACACAUGCAAGUCGAGCGGUAGAGAGAAGCUUGCUUCUCUUGAGAGCGGCGGACGGGUGAGUAAUGCCUAGGAAUCUGCCUGGUAGUGGGGGAUAACGUUCGGAAACGGACGCUAAUACCGCAUACGUCCUACGGGAGAAAGCAGGGGACCUUCGGGCCUUGCGCUAUCAGAUGAGCCUAGGUCGGAUUAGCUAGUUGGUGGGGUAAUGGCUCACCAAGGCGACGAUCCGUAACUGGUCUGAGAGGAUGAUCAGUCACACUGGAACUGAGACACGGUCCAGACUCCUACGGGAGGCAGCAGUGGGGAAUAUUGGACAAUGGGCGAAAGCCUGAUCCAGCCAUGCCGCGUGUGUGAAGAAGGUCUUCGGAUUGUAAAGCACUUUAAGUUGGGAGGAAGGGCAGUAAAUUAAUACUUUGCUGUUUUGACGUUACCGACAGAAUAAGCACCGGCUAACUCUGUGCCAGCAGCCGCGGUAAUACGAAUCACUAGUGAAUUCGCGGCCGCCUGCAGGUCGACCAUAUGGGAGAGCUCCCAACGCGUUGGA